rnacentral:rRNA from 1 species
CCUACGGGACGCAGCAGUAGGGAAUCUUCCGCAAUGGACGAAAGUCUGAUGGAGCAACGCCGCGUGAGUGAAGAAGGGUUUCGGCUCGUAAAGCUCUGUUGGUAGGGAAGAAAGAUAGAGGUAGUAACUUGCCUUUAUUUGACGGGAAUUACUUAGAAAGUCACAGCUAAAUACGUGCCAGCAGCCGCGGUAAUACGUAGGUGGCAAGCGGUGUCCGGAUUUAUUGGGCGGAAAGC